AAUGAACGCUGGCGGCGUGGAUUAGGCAUGCAAGUCGAGCGAUGAAGCGGUGCUUGCACCGUGGAUUAGCGGCGAAAGGGAGAGUAACGCGUAGGUAUGUACCCCCUGGUCUGGGAUAGCGGCGGGAAACUGCCGGUAAUACCGGAUAAUGUCCCCGGACCAAAGGUGUGAUUCCGCCAGGGGAGCGGCCUGCGUCCUAUUAGGUUGUUGGUGGGGUAACGGCCUACCAAGCCAAAGAUGGGUACCGGGUGUGAGAGCAUGGCCCGGCUCACUGGGACUGAGACACUGCCCAGACACCUACGGGUGGCUGCAGUCGAGAAUCUUCCGCAAUGGGCGCAAGCCUGACGGAGCGACGCCGCGUGCGGGAUUAAGGCCUUCGGGUUGUAAACCGCUGUCAGAGAGGCGGAAAUGCGUAGGGGCUAUCCCCUAUGUUUGACCUAAUCUCAGAGGAAGUGCAGGCUAAGUUCGUG
rnacentral:rRNA from 1 species